AGGAAAACAAGAGAAAGAGCCAGAACUGCAGGGGAGGAAAGGAGGAAAGGCAAGCUUGAGGAAACACAAUGCCUAUGAACUUUGAAAGGGACGGAAAAGUCCUCUCCCCAGCAGGACAGUCAUUUGUUUGAAGAGUAGUUCACAGUUUGAAGGGGCCCAGUGUCUGAAGAUACCCCCUGUUCAACUCUGGUUUAAAAAGACCAAAAACCACAAGAGGUGAAAGCAGCAUUUGCAAACAAGCAGCAACACUACUCAGUAACAAAAAUACUCUCCAAAAACAUGAGCAGUACUAUUGAGAAAGGACCAGAGUGAGGCUCUAUGAAUAAGGCAUUAAAGAGG
rnacentral:lncRNA from 1 species